rnacentral:lncRNA from 1 species
ACAAGUGCAACCAAACUUUGCACGGCCUCCUCUUUCAUCCAGAGGAAGGUUGAUGGCUGUGUUUGGAAGAAACAAAAAUUAAAGCAGAUAAUUGGUCUUCAGGCCUCAAUGGGGUCUUGCGCUUAUACACUGCCUAGACUUGUGCCGAUACACUGACAGAAGUUCGUAAAUAAAUUUCCGUGAAGAAGAAGAUUCCCCACAGAAGUGGAUCGAAAAGACUGAACAUUUUAAAAUGUGAUUUACAAAAACGUUUAAAAUUGUAAGGAAAGAAUAUUAGUGACAUUAGUAAUGUAGUGACAAGUUAAAGAAAUGAGCGAAAGAAGGAAAAACAGUCACAACGAGUUUGGACAUUCCUCACGUGAAAAAGGAAAUCUUGUCCAUUCAAUUUUUUUUUCUUCUCAAGGGAGCCAGAAAAAGGUGAGAAUAAAUAUAUAAAAAAAAGAGAAAACGAUUUUGGUGAGCGAAUCGAGAGAAAGCUGAAAGAAUAAGUGAGAAGAAUAAAGGCCGUUUUCCUUGAGGAGGCCCGAGGUGGUUUUCACCUCAGAGGAAGAAACUCGGCAAAAUGGCGGGGACGGGGAAAAAUGGCGGGGAAGAUAAAGACAUUAUGCCGAAUUCCCUGUACAGUAAGUGGAAAAAUCAACUUCUGGAGAAGUUAGAUGAAAUCGAAUUGAUGAAGGGGCAACUUUAUGUGAACCUGUUGAAGCACUUCCAAUUUCUAAAACGGGAUGUGUUUGUGGUGCUUAAUAAACACCACCCAAAAUCCCAUAAACAUCUGGAAUGUGUCGCAGCAAGACUGGAGCAGCAUUCUCUUACUUUGAGCUUAUGUUUGAAACUUUUGAGGUCUUUCAAGAAAAGUAAUUCAAUGCUGCCUAAUGAAGAAGAAGGAGCAGGAGAAGCGUGUGCUGAAGAAAACUCUGAUUUCAGGGAUUUGCAAGCCACACCAGAACCGACAGUUUCGUGUAAUGCUGCUUUCUAUUCUGCUGAAGGCAAUUCAAAGAAGAAGAGUAAAUCUACUUUGUCUCCACAAGCUAACCUUGCUCAAUGCCUUAACUCUACCAGCAAGCUUCAAAGCAGGGUGCAAGUCUUGAAUGAAAUUUUUGUGAAGGACCUAAAUGAUUUCCCUUUAUUGAUAGAUCUCGAGAACAUUAGUCCGAUAAAGUUACCCGAGUGCGGCUCAACAACCCUGGACUUUCCUCCAGUUGAAGAGGACACCAAAGUUCCAUGGAAUCCAUCCCUGACGGAGACUGAGGAAAGGAAGCACUUUCUUUGCGAUUCCUCAACUCUGAUCAUCCCUGAACUGCCUGUGAAGGACAAUAUGGAGAUGGAGACGACUGUGACACACAUUGUUAGUCCAACGUGUUUUUACCUUCAGCCACUCUCAUGCAGUGAACUUCACGACAUUAUGUCAGUCUUCAAGUUUCGUGAAUUCUUGCCCCACCGUUUUGGAGGAGAUAACGGGACGGACAGACAGAUGGAUGGAUGGACACAGAUGGAGCCGAAUACAA